CAGUAGCCGCGGUAAUACGAAGGGUGCAAGCGUUAAUCGGAAUUACUGGGCGUAAAGCGUGCGUAGGCGGUUUGUUAAGUCUGUUGUGAAAUCCCCGGGCUCAACCUGGGAAUGGCAAUGGAUACUGGCAAGCUAGAGUGUGUCAGAGGAUGGUGGAAUUCCCGGUGUAGCGGUGAAAUGCGUAGAUAUGCGGAGGAACACCGAUGGCGAAGGCAGCCCCCUGGGCCAACACUGACGCUCAUGCACGAAAGCGUGGGGAGCAAACAGGAUUAGAUACCCCCGUAGUCCCUGUCUCUUAUAC
rnacentral:rRNA from 1 species